UCUCCUCCUCCUCCUCCUCACACCACGGAGCUCCAUUGCGACCAACAGGUGCACACACGCUCUUCCUUAUCUUAGCUUAGAUUCCGUCUCUGCUGGGAGGCCUCUGGCCGCCCGGGCUGCGCAGGCGCGGCGGAGGAGGCCGCACUUUGUGCUCCUGGAUCUGGCAGCCGGACCUAGAGUCAACCAACUAUCUCCUGAUGUGAUUGUCAAGUUUCAUCUUUGGAUGAGAGCUGUGUCCCCCGUGCUUGUUGAUGCCAAAUCGCUAACCCGUGGUCAAUCUUUCCUGUCAGUUGCGCACGCUGCUCGGCCCCCAACCUAUUCUGCUUGACUGACUGAACAGUUGUUUUGUCACCAGGACAAAUGGCGGAGGCGGUGCUCGUUGCUCUCGGAAAGAUUGGGAAUGUCUUAGCUGAUGAAGCUACCAAGGCUUUGCUGGCCAAGCUGUCAGAAAAAGUUAGUAAUCUGAUUGAUCUGGAUGACAAGAUUGAGGGAAUAGCGAAGCAAUUAAAUACAAUGAAGAACGUCAUACAGCAGAUAGGCACGCCGUACCUAGCCGACAAAGUCGUAAAGGGUUGGAUUGGGGAGGUGAGGAAGUUGGCCUACCAUGUUGAGGAUGUGAUGGACAAAUACUCAUAUCACUCUCUUCAUGUGGAAAAAGGGUUUCUGAAGAAGUGCCUCAAAGGAUCACAUUAUGUCCGGGUUUUUAGUCAAAUUGCCGAUGAGGUAGUCAAGAUAGAGAAGGAGAUAAAGCAAGUUAUCGGACUCAAGGAGCAAUGGCUGCAACCAUCCCAGCUUGUUCAUGACCCGUGCACUGAGAUGGAAAGACAACGGUCCCAAGAUAUCUUCCCUGAACUUGUGAAAGAUGAAGAUCUUAUUGGAAUUGAAGAUAACAGGAGAAUGAUGACUGAAUGGUUGUACUCGGAUGAGAUGGAGACUACGGUGAUAACGGUGUCGGGUAUGGGUGGGUUGGGAAAAACAACCCUCGUCACAAAUGUGUAUGAACGUGAAAAGAUCAACUUCCAAACAAGUGCGUGGAUGGUUGUGUCUCAGACCUACAGUUUGGAUGCUCUGUUGAGGAAGUUACUCGAGAAGGUUACCGAACAACCAUCAUCACCUAACAUUGACAGGAUGGAUGUGCAUGACUUGAAGGAAGAAAUAAAGCGAAAGCUUAAAGAUAGGAAAUGUUUAAUUGUAUUGGAUGAUGUCUGGAACAAGGAAGUGUACUCUCAAAUGCGAGAUGCAUUCCAGAAUUCUCAUGCAAGUCGCAUCAUCAUCACAACGCGGAACAAUCAUGUUGCUGCUGUUGCUCACUUGACACGCCGUAUCGUUCUCAAGCCUUUGGGGAAUGCUCACGCAUUCGAACUCUUCUGCAGGAGGGUCUUUUAUAUCAAGAAGGACCAUGAGUAUGAGUGUCCCAAUCAUCUCAUGAAAACUGCUAGGUCUAUAGUUGAUAGAUGUCAGGGUCUGCCACUAGCAAUUUUAUCAAUAGGUGGUGUUUUGUCUUCGAGGCCACAAACACAAUACUCUUGGGAGCAGAUAUACAAUCAACUCUCAACUGAGCUGUCGAAGAAUGAUCAUCUCCGGGCAGUUUUAAAUCUGAGCUACCAUGACCUAUCUGGAGACCUCAGAAACUGCCUUUUGUAUUGCAGCCUUUUCCCGGAAGACUACCCGAUGUCACGUGAGAGCCUUGUGAGGCUGUGGGUUGCAGAAGGCUUUGUGUGUAGCAAAGGAAAUAGCACCCCGGAGGAGGUGGCCGAGGGAAACCUGACGGAACUGAUAUACCGCAAUAUGCUUGAAGUCAAGGAGACAGAUGAACUGGGAAGGGUGAGCACCUGUACGAUGCAUGAUAUUGUGCGAGACCUGGCUCUUUGUGUUGCAAGCGAGGAGCAGUUUGUAUGUGCAAAUGAUUAUGCCACAUUGAUACAUAUGAAUAAGGAUGUUCGUCGUCUGUCAUCAUGUGGAUGGAAAGGCAAUACUGCACUGAAAAUUAAGCUUCCCCGUCUUCGAACUCUAGUGUCAGUAGGAGCAAUUUCAUCCAUGCCUGCCAUGCCGUUCUCAGUUUCGUCAGAAUCCAGCUACCUGACUGUCCUCGAGCUACAAGACUCUGAAAUCACUGAAGUGCCGGCAUGGAUAGGUACACUCUUCAAUUUACAUUACAUUGGCUUACGCCGCACCAAGGUGAGGUCACUCCCAGACUCUGUUGAGAAACUAUCGAACCUGCAAACUCUGGACAUCAAGCAAACUAACAUAGAGACCCUACCAAGAGGGAUUGCUAAGAUCAAGAAUCUACGGCACCUCUUAGCUGAUAGAUAUGCUGAUGAGAAGCAGACGGAGUUUCGAUACUUUGUCGGAAUUCAAGCACCGAAAGAACUGCCCAACAUUGAAGGGCUGCAGACUCUUGAGACCAUCCAAGCCAACAAAGACUUGGCUGAGCAGCUGGAGAGAAUGGUGCAAUUGCGAACUCUGUGGAUUGACAACAUAAGUUCUGCUGAAUGCGCAACUAUUUUUGCUGCCCUGUCAAAUAUGCCGCUUCUUUCCAGUCUGCUUCUUGCUGGAAGAGAUGAGAACGAGGCACUUUGUUUCGAGUCCCUCCAGCCAAUGUCCACACAUCUCCACAAGCUGAUCAUCAGAGGGAAAUGGGCCAAGGGAACGCUGGAGUGCCCGAUAUUCCGCAGCCACGGAGAAAAUCUCAAGUAUCUAGCUCUAAGCUGGUGUCACCUUUGGGAAGACGAGGAUCCACUGGGGAUGCUUGCACCACACUUGCCAAACCUCACAUAUCUGCGGCUCAACAACAUGCGCAGUGCAAACAUUUUGGUUCUUUCUGCAGAUUCCUUCCCUCACCUGAAGAGCCUUACACUGAAGCACAUGCAUAAUGUCAACGAGCUAAAGAUCAUCGAUGGCGCCCUUCCGAGCAUCGAAGGUUUGUAUGUCGUGUCAUUGUCGAAGCUGGAUAAGGUCCCUCAAGGCAUUGAAUCCCUUAGUUCCCUGAAGAAGCUCUGGCUGCUGGGCUUGCACGGGGGCUUCAAAGCUCAGUGGGACAAGAACGGAAUGCAGCAGAAGAUGGUGCAUGUUCAGGAGCUUCGUGUCUGAAUGUGGCACAGCGGUUCUUUCUGCAGUGGCUUUAAUCAUUCUGGUAUGUUAUAAUUAUUAAGACAUCAUUUGCGAGCCUUGUACUUCUAUAUCGUGAUACGAUUUCUGUUUUCAGGAGGCCCUGUAUUUCAGUUUGAUGCUGUAAUACUGAUUUCAGGAAACAGUUGUGUCGAACAUGUGAGAAAACAAUGUUGUGGAAUUUGUUUACCUUGUUGUUAGUAGAUACCGCCCGAUCUAUGUUUCUGCUGCAUCCUGGUUGUCGUUCUCGAAGAGGCACAUCCUCGACCGAUACUGAUUUCCGUGUCCAAGUGAAGCCCCUGCUCGAGUUGAGAGUCCGAGAGGCGGGAUUUUGUAGGAGCUCAACUCAAAAACUGCUGUGUUUUAUGUGAAGAAAAUGUUUUUUUUAGUAGCAGUUGUUUUAAUUCCGGUUUAGGCCGCUGCCUGGAGUUUGUACAGCUUUACUGAUCCUUCAUAGGUUGUACCCUGUACAUCAGUAGCACAAAUGCCAAGCCUGAUCACCGAGUCUGGAGUUAAGCUCUGGUCAGGGGAAAAAAAUGCCCUUUAAUUUCUUAGUCCUCUCAGGUUGACUGGGGAGCUGUUCUUUGACGUAAUGCCCAUGAAAAAGAGUUUCAUAAAUUUUAUUCGCCAUGGCAACACAAAAGAGCCGCUUCGGUGCAUCCUCUAAUCGAAUCAACGGUGGAGAGUAAAACAUACGCCUAGAUAUCUUAGGUACACUGCCGAUGUGCAUGUAGGAUUAUUAGACACUUGUAAGCACAAGAUUAUCUCACCACCCGUCCAUGUGCUUCAACAGUCGGAUUUGAUGGACACACGUGGUUUGGUCACUCGUUGCUGUCAAAAAAGUAAUGAGAGUUGGGGACCGUUUGAGCAGGCAGGAUGAGCGAUAAGCUAACCUGUCAUGGCCACAAAGGCACAUAUCAUCAGUACAGAUACAGACAGGCCGCUGCCAUGGCCUUCUUCUUCGUCUUGCUCCUCGCCGCCCAUGGCGCGGCCCCUGCUCUUGGCUUCACGCGGAGCGACUUCCCGCCGGACUUCGUCUUCGGCGCCGCCACCUCCGCGUACCAGUAUGAGGGCGCCGUGGCUGAGGACGGCAGGAGCCCAAGCAUCUGGGACACCUUCACUCACAUUGGGAAAAUGGCGGACAAAAGCACAGGGGACGUCGCUUCUGACGGGUACCACAAGUACAAGGAUGAUGUCAAGCUCAUGGCUGACACUAACCUGGAGGCUUACAGAUUCUCCAUCUCCUGGCCAAGGCUUAUUCCAAAUGGGAGGGGAGCUGUCAAUCCAAAGGGGUUAGAGUACUACAACAACCUUAUAAAUGAGCUGGUGAAACAUGGGAUUCAAAUCCAUGUGAUGCUUUACCAUCUCGAUUUCCCGCAAGUUUUGGAUGAUGAAUAUGGAGGAUGGUUAAGCCCUUGAGUUGUGGAGGAUUUCACGGCAUUUGCAGAUGUAUGCUUUAGAGAGUUUGGAGACAGGGUUUCCUUUUGGACUACGAUCAGCGAACCUAAUGUCGUCCCAGCCGACUCUUACGGUAGUGGAAAAUUUCCACCCGGGCGUUGCUCUGAUCCUUUUGGGCGAACAAAAUGUACCGCGGGGAACUCAACCGUGGAACCGUACAUAGCAGCUCAUAACAUGAUACUGGCACAUGCAUCUGUUACUAGACUUUACAGAGAAAAAUAUCGAGCCGUGCAAAUGGGAGUUGUUGGCAUAAAUGUUUACUCCCAUUGGACUUAUCCUUUGACGAACUCUACUCUUGAUUUAGCAGCAAACAAAAGAUAUCAGGACUUCCUGUUCGGUUUGAUACUAGAACCCUUGGUGUUCGGAGAUUACCCCCGAGUGAUAAAGACGAAUGCUGGUUCCCGCCUUCCAUCCUUCACAAAACUACAAUCUGAAUUUGUCAAGGGUGCUAUUGAUUUCAUAGGAAUAAAUCACUACUAUUCUGUCUAUGCGAGCGAUCGUCCUCUAAAGAAUGGUGUUCGCGACUAUGCAGCAGACAUGUCAGUUUACAAGAGAGCUUCUAGAACAGACCCGGCAGUAAGUGAGGAUGUGCCAACAGCAUUUCCAGAUGACCCAAAAGGAUUACAAUUUGUGUUGCAGUACCUGGCAAAAGUCUAUGGUGACCUGCCCAUUUAUGUCCAAGAGAAUGGUAAGGCAUCUACCAACGACACUCUCGAUGACACUGACAGGGUCAAAUACUUGAAGAGCUACAUAGGGAGCACACUGGCGGCAUUAAGAACCGGAGUCAAUGUGAAAGGUUACUUUGCGUGGAACUUCAUGGACAUGUUCGAGUUCCUCGCAGGGUACAAUACACGGUACGGCCUGUACCGUGUCGACUUCGACGAUGAGGCGCGGCCAAGGGAGGCCAGGCUCUCUGCUUGCUGGUACUCCAGCUUUCUGGAAAACAAUGGCAUCCAUUUUCGGAGCGAGCUCGAUAAUAAAGGAUCCCAUGCUCAACAGUGAGUUAUAUAAUCAGAUAAAUUGAGCUGUUCAUUAAUCUAGUCCCAUGCAUGGGGAAACACUGGAUUCAUCUGGGUGAAAGGAAUUGGUGUAAGUAAAUAAUUUGCUUUUUCUAUAUGUAUGAUGGGAGUUAAUUGCAG
rnacentral:rRNA from 1 species